rnacentral:lncRNA from 10 species
GGAUUUUUUAAAUUUCUUUCUACUCUACUAAAUUGUGGAUUCUUGAAGGACAGGAUCAUGCUGCUUGCAUCUCUGUAUCCUUCAUGGCUAAGGAGAGUAUCCGGAACAUAGUAGGAUCUCAGUAUCUCUUCAUGGAAUUUACACGUCCAUUUGGCCUCUGAAAACCACAUCCUCUCCUCUACAGCUUGUCUACUUUCUUUUCCUGAGGCCAACUGUUAGGAAAUGAUGUUCUAAGGUACUUUGAAAAAUGUUUAAUUCAAUGAUAAAGAGCCUGCCCAAGAGUUUAAAAUACAAUAAAAACAAGAACGUACAUCAAUUGUUGAUCCCAUCUGAUGGCAGUCUGUCCUUGAGCAUAUAGCUAAAAGGAUUUUCUCUGUAUCAAGUGGCACAACUACGGUGGACAUUCUGGAAACCAGGACUCUCAUGUCUUCUGCUAGCAUGUCAAAAACUGUGAAGAGUCUGAAAUUUUACUCUACUUGCAAGCAGUCUCACUCUAUCUCCCAGGCUGGAGUGGAAUGGCGCGAUCUCGGCUCACUGCAACCUCCACCUCCCGGGUUUAAGUGAUUCUUCUGCCUCAGCCUCCCGAGUAGCUGGAACUAGAGGCGCCUGCCACCAUGCCCGGCUAAUUUUUGUAUUUUUAGUAGAUAUGGGGUUUCACCAUAUUGGCCAGGAUGGUCUCGAACUCCUGACUUCGUGAUUUGCCUGCCUCGGCUUCCCAACGUGCUGAGAUUACAGGCAUGAGCCACUGUGCCUGGCCAACUGAAUGUUUUAAAUUAUGCUGUAUCUCUUAAAACACUUAAAAAUAAAAUCUUAUGAAUCACCGAUUUAUUAAUACAAGGCAACUAACAACAAAGAGCCUAGAGAGACUUUAGGUCUCUUUCUUAAAGAAGUUCAUAAUUUAAUAACCUCUCUGGGCUUCAUUUUCUUUAUCUUUAAAGUAAGGACACUGAACUUGACUUUCUCCAAGAUUCCCCAAGGGAGGUUCCAAGGCUUUCUAAUACAGUCAUGUUAUAUGUUAUAUAACCAAGCACUCAGAGCAGUUCCUGGCCAUUUGUGAGGAAGGAGAAUAGGAUCUGGAGGCAGGGAACCUAUGACUGAUUUGCACUAACUUCCUAGAACGAAUCGAAAGGAAAACCCCACCUCUCCACACCAAAGUAACAAAAGGAUCAGAGGCUACUCUUUUUGCACUUCAUCGUAGAGGAAAAAUGAAAAGUACCUCUGAUUGUUUCCUUCCCACAACCAAUCAGACUGGUGGCAGGCCUAGUCUUCAUUUGCAUGUAACUUUGUAACUUUACUUCAUCCUCUGAUUGGUCCCCUCCCACAACCAAUCAGACUGGUCACAGGCUACAUCUUCAUUUACAGAGAGUGUAACCAAGUAACCAAUGGGAAACCUCUAGAGGGUGUUUAAACCCCAGAAAAUUCUGUAACCAGCACUCUUGAGCUGCUUGCUCGAGCCUACUCCCACUCUGUGGAGUGUACUUUUGUUUCAAUAAAUCUAUGCUUUUAUUGCUUCAUC